CAACUAACUGAGUGUCACAAUCAUACAGUGGUGGAGUUUACUGAUCAGAAUCAAACACAAUAUCAGAUUAUUAUAAUCAUAUCUGCCCUGAUGAAUGGACUUUUAAUCAUUGUAGUGAUCGGGCUAGUAAAAGUUUUUUUUGUUGGAACAAGAAAGUCUGCAGAAACAUCAGCUUCAUCUAACACUGAUAUAAAACAGCAUCAGGACUCAAACCAAUUACAGUAUGCUGAAGUCGACUUUACCAAGCUGCGUCAAAUAAAUUGUAUCAGCCAGGUCAUAUAUGCUGCCCUAAAGCCGCCAAAAUCAUAAACGUGUGCUUGCUGCACAUAUGCCACUUUCUUGAUGCUCAUGCAAACGUCUAACCACAAACUGUUUGGUAGAAAGACUUAACCUGCAAAACGUUAGCCAGUUUAACAUACUAGCAUUCAGAAGAUCAGAGGUUUUUAAACUGGGUAAAGACUUUUUAAAAAUGAAUUAAUGAAAAACAUAAUUUGAUUGAGUGUGCUGCAGUUUUAUUGAUGUAACUGCUUCAAUCUGCUUUCUAAAGAUGGAAAAGUUAAAAAAAGUUUAGAAAUUAAUCACAAUUAUUUUAACGCAUCAACAGCCAUAGUUGUAUAUUACUCUUCAAAUUUAUAGUACAGCUAACAGUACUCUAAUAAUUGACAGAAAAAUACACAAAUUUCUUAUUAAUAGAAAGCAAAUACUUAUUAUAGCUAGAAUAUUUCAUAUACUGUAUAUUAUAGCUGCCCUGUUAGGGAAUUAUAAUAUUUUUGGGUUUGUGGCAUCAAAAUAAAUGAAACCUUUGCUUAAAAUUAAAUAUGUGUUUAAGAAUGUUUUUGUUCACUAGUUGAUCUACUUUCUUAAUUGGAAGACCUAGAUCUUUUUUCUGUCAUUGGUCUCUGAAAACUAUUUCUUGAAACAAAUUGAAUGAUUUUUAAAACUUGUUUGGUUUAGUUUUCAAUGCUGUUGGACCCAGAA